UACGUAGGGGGCUAGCGUUGUCCGGAAUCAUUGGGCGUAAAGCGCGCGUAGGCGGUCAGGUAAGUCCGGUGUGAAAGUCAAAGGCUCAACCUUUGAAUGCCGCUGGAUACUGCUUGACUUGAGUCCGGAAGGGGCGAGUGGAAUUCCUGGUGUAGCGGUGAAAUGACGCAGAUAUCAGGAGGAACACCAAUGGCGAAGGCAGCUCGCUGGAACGGUACUGACGCUGAGGCGCGAAAGCGUGGGGAGCGAACAGG
rnacentral:rRNA from 1 species